AGAGUUUGAUCCUGGCUCAGGAUGAACGCUAGCUACAGGCUUAACACAUGCAAGUCGAGGGGAAACGACAUCGAAAGCUUGCUUUUGAUGGGCGUCGACCGGCGCACGGGUGAGUAACGCGUAUCCAACCUGCCCACCACUUGGGGAUAACCUUGCGAAAGUAAGACUAAUACCCAAUGAUAUCUCUAGAAGACAUCUGAAAGAGAUUAAAGAUUUAUCGGUGAUGGAUGGGGAUGCGUCUGAUUAGCUUGUUGGCGGGGUAACGGCCCGACCAAGGCGACGAUCAGUAGGGGUUCUGAGAGGAAGGUCCCCACAUUGGAACUGAGACACGGUCCAAACCUCCGACGGGAGGCA
rnacentral:rRNA from 1 species